ACGAAGGAGGAGGAUGUCCUCAAAUUCCUUGCAGCAGGAACCUACUUGGUUGGCACCAACCUUGAUUUCCAAUUGAAACAGUACAUCUACAAAAGGAAAUGUGAUGGCAUCUGUAUCAUAAAUCUGAAGAGAACCUGGGAAAAGCUUCUGCUGGCAGCUUAUACCAUUGGUGCCACUGAGAACCUGGCUCAUGUCAAUGUCAUAUCCCUGGCCAGUGAGCUGUGCUGAAGUGUGCUGCUGCUACUAGAGCUACUGCUGUUGCUGACUGCCCCACUCCUGGAGACUUCACUAACCAGACCCAGGCAGCCUUCUGGGAACUGAGACUUCUGGUGACUACUGAUCCAGCACCAACUCCAGCCUCUCAAAGAGGCAUGUUAUGUCAACUCACCUACCAUCACUCUGUGUGACACAGAUGCUCCUCUGAACCAUGUGGACAUUGACAUCCCUUGCAACAAAAGGGAGCUCACUCAGUGAGUCUGAUGUGAUUGAAUGCUGGCCUGGGAGGCUCUGCGUAUGCGUGACACCCUUUCCCCUGAACAUCCGUGGGAAGUUACCACUGCUGUCAACUUCUACAGAGAGCCCAAAGAAAUGAAAAGGAAGAGCAGGCUGCUGCCCAAAAGACUGUGACCAAGGAGGAGUUUCAGGUGUUGGAAAAAUACAUAGAAAACAUUGUUGAAGCUGAAGACUUUGAGAAACAGAAAGAAAAUUCAUGAUCGAAUCACAAUUUUGUGCCUCAAAAAGAAGAAUUUGGGCAGCCUGGGUGGCUCAGCAGUUUAGCGCCUCCCUCAGCUUAGGACCUGAUCCUGGAGACCCAGGAUCAAGUCCCACGUCAGGCUCCCUGCAUGGAGCCUGAUUCUCCCUCUGCCUGUGUCUUGCCUCUUUCUCUCUCUGUGCCUCUCAUUAAUAAAUAAAUAAAAUCUUUUUUAAAAAAGAAGAAUUUAUUGUACACCUGAAACUAAUGUUAUACAGUAUGCUAACCGACUAGAAAUUAAAGAAAAACUUUAAAGAAAUAAUUUACUGAAAACGGUAAAUUCUCAGCAAUAAGAAAAUCUUUACUGAAUUUAUUUUUAAUGGAUGAAAGAUCUAAAUGUGAGACAAGAUUCCAUCAAAAUCCUAGAGGAGAACACAGGCAACACCCUUUUUGAACUUGGCCACAGUAACUUCUUGCAAGAUACAUCCACGAAAGCAAAAGAAACAAAAGCAAAAAUGAACUAUUGGGACUUCAUCAAGAUAAGAAGCUUUUGCACAGCAAAGGAUACAGUCAACAAAACUAAAAGACAACCUACAGAAUGGGAGAAGAUAUCUGCAAAUGAUCUAUCAGAUAAAGGGCUAGUUUCCAAGAUCUAUAAAGAACUUAUUAAACUCAACACCAAAGAAACAAUCCAAUCAUGAAAUGGGCAAAAGACAUGAACAGAAAUCUCACAGAGGAAGACAUAGACAUGGCCAACACGCACAUGAGAAAAUGCUCUGCAUCACUUGCCAUCAGGGAAAUACAAAUCAAAACCACAAUGAGAUCCCACCUCACACCAGUGAGAAUGGGGAAAAUUAACAAGGCAGGAAACAACAAAUGUUGGAGAGGACGCGGAGAAAAGGGAACCCUCUUACACUGUUGGUGGGAAUGUGAACUGGUGCAGCCACUCUGGAAAACUGUGUGGAGGUUCCUCAAAGAGUUAAAAAUAGACCUGCCCUACGACCCAGCAAUUGCACUGUUGGGGAUUUACCCCAAAGAUUCAGAUGGAAUGAAACGCCGGGACACCUGCACCCCGAUGUUUCUAGCAGCAAUGUCCACAAUAGCCAAACUGUGGAAGGACCCUCGGUGUCCAUCGAAAGAUGAAUGGAUAAAGAAGAUGUGGUCUAUGUAUACCAUGGAAUAUUCCUCAGCCAUUAGAAAUGACAAAUACCCACCAUUUGCUUCGACGUGGAUGGAACUGGAGGGUAUUAUGCUGAGUGAAGUAAGUCAAUCGGAGAAUGACAAACAUUAUAUGUUCUCAUUCAUUUGGGGAAUAUAAAUAAUAGUGAAAGGGAAUAUAGGGAAGGGAGAAGAAAUGUGUGGGAAAUAUCAGAAAGGGAGACAGAACAAAAAGACUCCUAACUCUGG